AUUCUUCUCACAGGUCUCAGGCUCCUGGGAGGCACCUUAUAAACACAGGGCGUUCAUCUACCCCACUAACUGGAGAGAAGGAAAACGCUGGAUCCGUUUUCUUGUCCCAGUGAACAGGUGCACUAUGUUGAAAUAAGAGUGGUGACGGAGGCCUUGUUUAUCUUGUAUCUUAUUGUAAAAGGUCAUCAAGAACCCACCUUGGCCAAUCAAGAGAGGAGUCAGCUGGCUAAUCACCGGGCAGGCACCGCCUUUUUCUUCCCGCUGCCUAGCUUGUUUGCUUUCGACCAGCCAAGGAGACCUGGUGGCAGGGUUGGCAAUCAGGAGGCAUGCAAAGCUGUCAUGAGGAGAAAAUUCAUGCUGCAAUGGGAAAGUCACACUUUUGGAAAAUUUCAUUAUAAAUUUUUUCGUGACGUUUC
rnacentral:lncRNA from 1 species